GGGAAGGAGACGCGGCCGCUGAUUGGACCGUUUGAAUGAGACGCCGCCACGGCCCGGCAUACGCGCGGGCGCGCCCUGACGCUGAGGAAGUCGCGCACGCGACUAACGGUCUUCCUGGGGGCUGGAGCGUGGCGAGGAGAGGCGGGACUCGGGGUUUUAAACGCGUGAUGGAAGGCGCUCGGGCCAAUAGGGAUGCGCUUUAGUGACUGGUGGGUCACGAGACUCGCAUGGGCCAAUGGCUGGCAGAGACCGGUCACAGGGCCACCCAGUUUCGUGCAGAUCAAACCGCUGCCAGCCAACGAAAUCCGUUGAUUUUUAUAUAUGCAAAUGAAGCGUGCGCUGCCGCCCGCGCCCCGUCCUUUGAGCCGUGGUGGAGGUGGGCGCUGGAACUCCGGCUACAUUUUUCUAUGAGGCGCCAUUUUGUGCUGGAAAUGCUCUUGGACCCACGUCCUGUAUUGCUAAGGCUUAAAGAUCAGUCAGAAUGACCUUGAAGGCUUGGACAGCCUUGCCCUCCGUGUGUGACCCCGACCUCUGCCAGGCUUCAUCGAAGACGCCAGCCUCAGUUUCUUUCUGUGACAAAUGGGCACUGAGAUCCGUUGUGAUGCCAGGGAAAGAAGUCAGAGAGUGCCAAGACGUUUAUUCAGGGCAUGGUUCUGCCUAUGACUGACCCAUGGCCUCCAGCCACACCCGCCUUCUCUGGGACUCAGUUUCCUUCUCUAGGAAAUGGACACAUAGCUGCCUGGAAAAGGGACCGUCUCCAGCCCUCAGUGUCAGUAAAAACGUCAGGCAAUUGCUUGAGAACGGUGGCCAGAGCUCCCUGAGCAGGCCUUUUGGAGGUGCUUAGAGAGGAGGGGGAAUGCUGAAGUUGGCCUUCCUUUGCUUAUCUGUGCAGUGCGGUCGCAGUGCCCUCUUGGUGUCUCUGCCAGUCUGUGCGUCCACAGGCCUUUUUCAGCCGUGGAUGAGAGCAUUAACAUCUGGGCCUAAUUUGGCCACAGGUAUCUGAAAAGACCCCUGGCUACCAGCUUCCCCUCAUGGGGCCUCAGCUUCUGAAGAAGGAAUAAGGAAGUUGUGAAAGAAGUCUACAUGGCCAAGGCCAGGCGUGGUAGCUCAGGCCUGUAAUCCUGGCACUUUAGGAGGCUGAAGCUGGCGGAUCACCUGAGGUCAGGAGUUCGAGACCAGCCUGGUCAACAUGGUGAACCCUAUCUGUACUAAAAAUACAAAAAUUAGCCGGGUGUGUUGAUGCAGCCCUGUAAUCCCAGCUACUCAUGAGGCUGAGAUGGGAGAAUUGGUUAAAGCCGGGAUGAGGAGGUUGCAGUGAGCUGAGAUCUCGCCACUGCACCCCAGCCUGGGCAACAGAGCAAGAUCCUGUCUCAAAAAACAAAAAAAACCUACAUGGUCGGGUACAGUGACUCACGCCCAUAAUCCCAGCACUUUGGGAGGCCAAGCAUCUACACUAUAGCUGGCAGGAUGCUAUGGGAUACAGCAGAGAAUAAAAGGGACAAAACCGCAACUUUCAUGGAUCUUACAUCCUGGUGCGGGAGCCAGAUAGCAAAUGAAAAAAGCAGGGGCCAGGUGCGCUGGCUGAUGCCUGUAAUCCCAGCACUUCGGGAGGCCAAGGCAGGAGAAUCACCUGAAGUCAGGAGUUCAAGACCAGCCUGGUGAAUAUGAUGAAACCUGGUCUCUACUAAAAAUUCAAAAAUUAGCUGGGCAUGGUGGCGCACGCCUGUAAUUCCAGCUACUCAGGAGACUGAGGCACGAGAAUCGCUUGAACCCAAGAGGCAGAGGUUGCGGUGAGCUGAGAUCGCGCCAUUGCACUCCAGCCUGGGAGACGGAGCAAGACUCCGUCUCAAAAAACAAAACAAAAUAAAAAAAGAAAUAGAAGAAAAAAGAGGUUACAGAGCAGUUUAUAUAUAGGAAGGCUGAUUUGUAAAAAAGAAAAAAUUGUUUUCAUGUGGAAAUUUCUAGAAGAAAACAUAGCUAAUGUAAACAGCAUUUGACUCUGAGCAGCGAGAAAUCAGGAGAUCUCCAUUUUGUUCUCUCCUUCUCUGGAUUUUCUAAUUUUUUUUUGCCCCUGUAACAAUCACUGUCAUUGUUAGGGUGCACUUGGUUGCCAGGAACAGAAGCCAAGAGAGGUUUGUUGGAGAACUGAGGGACUUCCAUGGGUUCACUUGUUCCUCAAGAACAAGGACCUUGUUUGUGCCAUUCACUGUAUUUUGUUGACUGAAUUAGUGAACUGGCAUAGCAGAAAAUAAAAUUCAACCGUGCCCCUUGGAGUCUCAAACUGGGGAUGGGUAGUUGCUGCCUCGUGGUAUUUUUCUACCUCUCUUUUAUCUGUGUCUCUCCAGUUCUUUUUCCAGAGUGAUGUGCAAACAGACCCUCAGAUGCAAGGUGAAAG